UACGUAGGGACCAAGCGUUGUUCGGAUUUACUGGGCGUAAAGGGCGCGUAGGCGGCGUGACAAGUCACUUGUGAAAUCUCCGGGCUUAACUCGGAACGGCCAAGUGAAACUGUCAUGCUAGAGCGCAGAAGGGGCAAUCGGAAUUCUUGGUGUAGCGGUGAAAUGCGUAGAUAUCAAGAGGAACACCUGAGGUGAAGACGGGUUGCUGGGCUGACACUGACGCUGAGGCGCGAAAGCCAGGGGAGCAAACGGG
rnacentral:rRNA from 1 species